rnacentral:rRNA from 1 species
AUGGUGUCAUGCCCUCUCCUCCUCCAACCUGAUGUCCCGGUUUACUCUGCAAAGUUUGGUGGCAAAUAUCCAUGUCGUGUCCUUGAUCUAGCCAGCCAACACUCGCGCCUUUGCUCUCAGAUUCCCCUAAUUAAUCUUUCUCGUCUAAGUAAUGACCCCCAGAGUCCGCUGGGUAAUUUCUGCUUUGUGGGUGCUUCUUAUGGCCAUCUCAUCUUCUCCAGCAACAGGUCAUGUCUCAUUGUUGAUGCGUUUACAGGUGUUAGUGUUUCACCGCCACAGCUGCCGGGCGACGAAUGCACCGAGGUCUACUACGGUGCCCUCACGGGUCCCCUAUGGUCACCCAACUCACAUCUCCUUGUCACCAACCGAUCCCACAGUUUCUUCUGGCAUACUGCUAGUCAUUCUUGGUUGAGGCCUUGUCCUUGCGAUGGAACGGUCAAGCAGAUCGUGACCUUCAGAGGCCAGAUCUUUGGGAUGGACUCUGGUGGCAUGCUCUUUGCCGUGCAUUUGGCACCUCAGAUCUGCAUACAAAAAAUGAUAGUAAGUUGGGAGGAAAUCAUGUCCACCAUACGGCAUCUUGCCAAUGUAUGCCUGGUGGCGUGUGGGGAUAUGCUUCUCAUGGUCGGUUGUCGGGGAUCAUUUCCGGCGAGAGGGGAUACCUUUGAAGCCUUCCGCCUCGACCAGUCAACUGGGCAUCCAAAGUGGGUGCAGGUGGAGGAGUUGGGGAAUUGGGCAAUCUUCAUCAGCACGGACAAAAGAAGCCAGCCAUUAUCUUUCAUGAACCCGGAGAGGUGCGGAGGAAAGAGCAACCGAGUAUACUGCUAUUCCCAUGAUUCUGAACAUUGGGCUGCAUUUGAGCUGGGCAAGCCCGCCUCCGAUCCAGACAACUUUGUUUCAAUGAGCCAAGGCAGCAUGGUGCAGCCUAUGUGGGUUGCCCCCAGCAUGUUCUCUCCGUCUCUCUGA